CUAUCUCAGCGUCCGCCUGAGGCCAAGGGAAGUGAAACCCGAGGCUCUCUGGCCCCGGAAGCCGGGAGCCGCGACUACGCUCUCAAGGCGGUGUCCUGGGACACAAAGAGGGGCGAGGGCGCCAGCAAGGACGCAGUCCCUACUUCUCCCUUUCCCCGCGUGUCUGCCUCGGGGUUAACCCAAGGCGAGUAGUAACUGGCUUUCGGCCUGUGCUCUCACACCAGCCUCUCCAGCAUAAAAAAGGCGACCUUCAGCCCCGCCAGGGCAGGGCGCGCGCGUUCUCAGGCUGACACCUCCUGCCUGGGGUCGGACCGGACCUGGGUCCAGGGUCACUCGGACGCUGCGCUCCGCGCUUGGGGACAGGUGUGCUGGAAGGCGUCGGGCCAACGGCAACAAGAGUCGCGCCUGGCGUCACCCACGGACGGUUCCCGUAGUUGCCCGCGGGUCACGUGCCCCGGAGGCCGCGGCCCAGAACAGCCCGAUGACAUGCCCCUUCGUCCAGCGGCGCGGAGGGGUGUGGUAGGAGCCUAAAUCCGGAUCCUGAACGCCUAGAGGGGACGAGAGCGCCCCCCGCCUUGGGCGACCAGCAGGCUUCUUCAAACAGCUGUCGAGUCCCUCGGCGUUUGCGUUGGGGUGGGGGAGGGGAAUCCAGGAAGAAGGUACGUUAAGUCUGGGCAAAAAGCGACAGAGAGGAGUAUAUGCAGAGGAGAGGGAGGGAUGCACCGCAGACACGCCGCCCACAGCAGCCCUAGCCUUUCGCGUGGGGCCUCCACCUGCAACCUGCUCCAAAGUUGCCAAGACUUCCAUCUCUGCUAUGGAUAUGAAUGUGUAGCGGGUCUGUGGUUCUGAAGCAGCAAAGGACUAUGUGUUGCAAACGGCUCCAAUCUGGGGUUUAGGAAAAACUUGGAUGCCUGCAGUUCUAUGGCUCAGAGCCCCAGCCAACACGAGCCCCAAAGAAAACAGGUCUGAACAGCUCUACACCUAUUUUCUGGAGAGCCUGAAGGCUGAAGACAUUGUUUAGACAGAUUCAGACAUCUUACAACUGUCAGUCCUUUGUGGAACAGGAGAUUCCCAACCCUGGAAACAAAAUAGAAUUGGAGAUUCCUGAGCAGGCAGUGGAAAUCUCUACACAGAGAUCCUGGAGAAGAAGUUUCCAAAUUUCCCCAAGAGCUAACAGUGUCUACAGAACUAAGAGUGUCUGCAUUUGAA